AGUCGAGCGGGGAAGGUAGCUUGCUACCUAACCUAGCGGCGGACGGGUGAGUAAUGCUUAGGAAUCUGCCUAUUAGUGGGGGACAACAUUCCGAAAGGAAUGCUAAUACCGCAUACGCCCUACGGGGGAAAGCAGGGGAUCUUCGGACCUUGCGCUAAUAGAUGAGCCUAAGUCAGAUUAGCUAGUUGGUGGGGUAAAGGCCUACCAAGGCGACGAUCUGUAGCGGGUCUGAGAGGAUGAUCCGCCACACUGGGACUGAGACACGGCCCAGACUCCUACGGGAGGCAGCAGUGGGGAAUAUUGGACAAUGGGCGAAAGCCUGAUCCAGCCAUGCCGCGUGUGUGAAGAAGGCCUUUUGGUUGUAAAGCACUUUAAGCGAGGAGGAGGCUACUUGGAUUAAUACUCUAGGAUAGUGGACGUUACUCGCAGAAUAAGCACCGGCUAACUCUGUGCCAGCAGCCGCGGUAAUACAGAGGGUGCGAGCGUUAAUCGGAUUUACUGGGCGUAAAGCGUGCGUAGGCGGCUUUUUAAGUCGGAUGUGAAAUCCCUGAGCUUAACUUAGGAAUUGCAUUCGAUACUGGGAAGCUAGAGUAUGGGAGAGGAUGGUAGAAUUCCAGGUGUAGCGGUGAAAUGCGUAGAGAUCUGGAAGAAUACCGAUGGCGAAUGCAGCCAUCUGGGCCUAAUACUGACGCUGAGGUCCUAAAGCAUGGGGAGCAAACAGGAUUUACAUACCCUGGUAGUCC
rnacentral:rRNA from 1 species